AUACGGAGGGUGCAAGCGUUACUCGGAAUCACUGGGCGUAAAGCGCGCGCAGGCGGUCUUUUAAGUUGGAUGUGAAAGCCUACGGCUCAACCGUAGAACUGCAUCCAAAACUAUUAGACUAGAGUGUGGGAGAGGAAGAUGGAAUUAGUUGUGUAGGGGUAAAAUCCGUAGAGAUAACUAGGAAUACCAAAAGCGAAGGCAAUCUUCUGGAACACUGCUGACGCUGAGGCGCGAAAGCGUGGGGAGCAAACAGGAUUAGAUACCCUAGUAGUCC
rnacentral:rRNA from 1 species